rnacentral:lncRNA from 1 species
GGAGACGUCGCAGGAGAGGAAGACGCGCUCGCCGAAGCUCGCGCGGUUGGCUCCGCUCGUCAUCGCCCCCGCGAAAACCGGCCGCCGGUUCUAGAUUUUCACCUCCAGGUAUUUAUCCAUAGCCCAAACUCUACUAUGCACACAGUCAUAUCUAAAAAUCUCAGGGGUGUUUGGGAGGAGGGGGCUAAAUUUUAGCCCCCGUCACAUCGAAUGUUUGGACACUAAUUAGGAGUAUUAAAUCUAGACUAAUUACAAAACUAAUUACACAACCUCUAGGCAAAAUCGCGAGACGAAUCUAUUAAGCCUAAUUAGUCCAUGAUUUGACAAUGUCUACAUGAUGGUACCCUUGACCGGAUGUGNNNNNNNNNNNNNNNNNNNNNNNNNNNNNNNNNNNNNNNNNNNNNNNNNNNNNNNNNNNNNNNNNNNNNNNNNNNNNNNNNNNNNNNNNNNNNNNNNNNNAUAGGGGUUCUGCAAUUAGUUUUAUAAUUAGCUUAUGUUUAGUCCUCCUAAUUAGUAUCCGAAGAUAGGGCUAAAGUUUAGCCCCCUCCUCCCAAACACCCCUCAGUAUCUGUACUCCAAUCUGAGUUAUGUCGGUUCAAAACUGAAACUCGAUCAGGCCCUCGCGUCAUCCUCCCUAGGCGGCACGAGGGCGCUCCGCGCGCCGGAAAAAAAAGGCGCCGCCACCCUCACUAGCUGGCUGCCGCCGCCGCCGCCGGCCCCUCCCACCCUCCUCCUCCCUCGCCUCCCCUCCUUUCCCCUCUCUCCUUCUCUUCUUUUUUCCUUAUGCUUCUUCCCAUGGUAGUUAUGGUGGCGCGGCGGCCGGCUCUUGCGGCUUCGCGGCGUGGCUACCGACGGCUCCGGAUCUGUGCUUGGGGUGGCCGGAUCCAGCCUUUCCCCCUGUCAUGCCGUCCCUGUUGGCCUCCGAGCCAGCGCUGGCCGGCGACGGCGAGCUGGCUCAUGGCGCCCGCAGCGAGGACACCUGCGCGCGUGCGGGGUCGGCUGGUGACGACAGGAACGCCCGCGCCCGUCACCAACGCCCAGGGACACGGGGUGGCCGCUGCGUGUUGCAAGAUGGUGUCGCGGCUGCCGCUUUGGUGGGUCGAUACGCGCGAAGAUGCGUCGGUGGCGCCAUGGUGGCGUGGCCGGUGGCGGCUUGUUCGGGUGUCCAGCAGCGCCGUGGUGGCGUGGCUGGCGACGGCCGAGCGGAGCGCCAUGGUGGUGUGGCUGGCAGGCGCUCGCGGUCCCUGGCGGUGGCAUUCUUCCUCGGCUCCUUGCAAGGAAAUGGCUUCCUCGGGUGGCAAGCGGCACAGCUUGACCUUCCUGGUGAGUCUGUUCAAUUGCUAGCAAGGACGGCCUACUCUCGGCAGCGUGCAUUAGGGACUGAGCUUGAAGCGAAAGCUUUCGGCCAUGACGGGAUGAUGGCGACGACGCUCUCGAGUGUCGUUUACCUCCUUGGAGGCGUCCAUCGGUUUGGCCUCAGUCCUUAAAGCCGCAAGUUCUUCCUGGGUGAAAACCUCGACCGUGUUGGUCAGGCGACAGCGGUGCUAUUAGCAUCGUAUUCCUUGUUGGAGGCAUCACCUUGGAGCUACCGUCUCUGCUCACUCCUGCCCGGAAGAUUCAGCUUAGAAAGUAGAAAGAAAAAGAAAAAAGAAAAAACAGGGGUUGGUUGGUGUUGAGUUGCAGCAAGUUGUGGCGCCUGGGGCCAUUUGCUUUGGGCAAGUUGAGUAGUGUGAUGGCAUUGUGCGGCUUGUGUUGAUGUCCCAAUCCGACCGAUCAGAGUUGUUACGGCUCGUGUCGAUGUCCCAAUCCGACAGGCCAAAAUUGUGGAGAUGGGUUGAGUUUGGCGUGUGUUGAUGCCCCAAUCUAGCCCGCCUUAUUGUUUGUUUGAGUUGAGGAGUGUGCAGUGCGUGUUGACGCCCCAAUCCAACCGGCCGGGUUUUUUUUCAUUGGUUGUAUCGCCCAGUUUGGGUUCAUCUUCUUUUUAAUAUAAUUGGCAUCUCUCCUGCUUGACAAAAAAAUCUUUGAGUUAUGUCUUUUUUUCAAUUCACUUCUCUUUAUCCAAUCGAAUUUCACCGUUUUGAAAUGUGGACCAUAUGGUGGUUGAAAUGAAUCUCAUAGCAUUUCAAAUGCCAAAAUUGCUACUAAGAGUUUUUCGGUCGGAUACAGAGUUCAGAACAAGUGGCUGCUUGACUGCAGCUAGCCAUAGUCGUCAGGGGGCAUAUGUUCAAAGACCCCAUAUUUCGGUGCUAGAAAAAGUAAGGGGGAAAAAUGAAGUGAGAGCCUACUCAAUGCCGUCGAAUGCACGUUUCUCUUCACAGUAGUACAAACACAUCAGGCAUAGGGAAGACCGAUUUGCUCAGCACCUUUUUGAGAUUAGUGUGGCAGAGGGGCCCUUCUUGCCUUUGAAUUGUUCUGGCAAUACGCCUUUUAAACUGUUUUCUUGAAAGACUCGUCUUUUCAACUGUUAUCUACUGUUUUACCUCUUGAACAAUCUUAGACAUUAUUAGUAAUUCUGGAUCUUAUGUGUUUAGAAAGCAGUACCUGCAAACAGUUCGAACGAUCUCAUUAUUUGCUGGGUACCAAAUUUUAAUCGUUAUAUUCAGUUUUAUCUGCCUGCACAUACAGAACUGAUUCAGUCUUUGUUCAUUUUUAUUUUUUAUCUAUUCUGGUUGCACCUGGAACAUCUAGAAGGACUAACCUUAGAACUUGUCCGGCAUUACAAAGAGCUGUUGCCUCAGGGGAUCUUGUUUUAGGAAUAUGAAAGUACUUAACCUCUUGGUGAUGGCUUUGCUUGCUACUUAACCAUAGCAUUUUUUGGCCCUCUUAUUCUUUUCAUUCGAAGAGACUGAAUUCCUAUGCUUAUUUGAAGUUUAAACAGGCCAGACACUGCAGGUUGCCUCUGAAUUACGGUGGCAAUAAUUCUGGCAAUACCCUUUUUCAACUGUUAUCUACUAACAUUUUCUGUUUUACCUCUUGAAAGGUGAACAAUCUUAGAUACAUUGGUAUUUCUGUAUCUCUUUUAUCCACCUUUUCAUGCAGAAUUUAUUCAGUGCUUGGUCAGGUUGCACUUGGAACAUCUAGUAGGAUUAACCUUAGAACAUUUUUUUGGGGCAAUGCAGUGCAAUAUAUGAUUUUCAAUUUGAUGUACAUCUCUGGUUGUGAAGCACAUUGUGUGUUCAAAUUAAUUAAUUACUUAUUUCAAAUGACAUUGAUGGGCUUAAAUGGGUCUGCUGAAGUUAUAUAUUUUUUUCCUUUGUUGCAGCAGGUGAACUGUGUGGCCAUAACUGGAUUCCUUUUGCUAUUUAUGUCAUGUCACUUUGAUAUAGGAAAGUGCCUAGUGUGACGACCGUGUAUGCCCAGCGUUAUUGCGUCAGGGGAAUGUUGUUUUAGGAACCUGAAAGUACUUAAUCAUAGCAUUUUUUUG